rnacentral:rRNA from 1 species
UACAGAGGUCUCAAGCGUUGUUCGGAUUCAUUGGGCGUAAAGGGUGUGUAGGUGGCGCGCUAAGUCGGGUGUGAAAUUUCGGAGCUUAACUCCGAAACUGCAUUCGAUACUGGCGUGCUUGAGGACUGGAGAGGAGACUGGGAUUCAUGGUGUAGCAGUGAAAUGCGUAGAGAUCAUGAGGAAGACCAGUGGCGAAGGCGGGUCUCUGGACAGUUCCUGACACUGAGACACGAAGGCCAGGGGAGCAAACGGG